AUCUACGGCCAUGCUACCCUGAGCAAGCCUGAUCCUGUCUGAUCUCCGAAGCUAAGUAGGGUCGGGCCUGGUUAGUACUUGGAUGGGAGACCACUUAGGAAAACCAGGUGCUGUAGGCG
rnacentral:rRNA from 1 species